UCCUCUUUCACGUUCUUCCUUUAGUUUCAAAAGAAAAAAAAAUGCUCUUCCCUUCGCCGGCGGCAACCGCAACCUAGAUCGACGUGGUGCGGUGGUGGACGCUUCUCCAACCAGCAUGCCAAAGCUGUUUGCCUCUUCUUCUUACGUCCUUCUUGAAUUGUAAGAUUGGUGUCAAUCCUGGCUCUGAGUUUCGAGUGGCAUGUGAUGAAGCAAACAACAGGUGGAAUCGCACAUGACCUCUCUUGUUAUGAUGCAAAGGAGCUGUUUUUCGAGCAGAGUUGUUUUUCGCCUCAUCUGGUUCCCUGUUUUGCUGUUUAUUUUUUUUGCAACCUUAGGAGCUGCUGCAGAACACGUUUUCUAUGUGGCAGAAGAGCACACAUCAAGAAAUCACAAUGCCUUAGAACAUACCUUGUAGCCACUUUAUCAGAUUUUCUAUGUGACACAGUAUAAUGAGUACAUAAACUAUUUUUCAAAGUCUGUAAUAAGCGGUAGCCCUUAACCGAUGAUUAUGAAAUCCCAAAUUUGCACGGGUAUUUGAAAUUCAUUAUACGAAUUUAUAACUUGAAAGGGGGAUAUGAGGGAAGUUAAAAUUUGGUUGGGGAGACAGAUUUGAGGAUGCGUACAGUGGCGCAAAAAUGGUACAUAGGGAAGGAAAAAUUGGGGAUUUUUCAUAAUAAAAAAUUGAGGAUU